rnacentral:rRNA from 1 species
GAGCUCUCAAUCUGUCAAUCCUUACGGUGUCCGGGCCGGGUGAGUUUCCCCGCGUUGAGUCAAAUUAAGCCGCAGGCUCCACUCCUGGUGGUGCCCUUCCGUCAAUUCCCUUAAGUUUCAGAUUUGCAACCAUACUUCCCCCGGAACCCAAAAGCUUUGGUUUCCCGGAAGCUGCCCGCGAAGUCAUAUAUCUAACUCCCGCGGAUCGCUAGCUGGCAUCGUUUACGGUUAGAACUAGGGCGGUAUCUGAUCGCCUUCGAACCUCUAACUUUCGUUCUUGAUUAAUGAAAACAUUCUUGGCAAAUGCUUUCGCAAUAGUACGUCUUGCGACGAUCCAAGAAUUUCACCUCUAACGUCGCAAUACGAAUGCCCCCGUCUGUCCCUCUUAAUCAUUACUUCUGUUCCGAAAACCAACAAAAUAGAACCGAAGUCCUAUUCUAUUAUUCCAUGCACCACUAUUCAGGCUGACCGCCUGCUUUGAGCACUCUAAUUUUUUCAAAGUAAAAGUUCCAGUCACCCAGAGCACUCGGUAAAGAGCACCAAGGGAAAACCAGAGGAUAAGCCCAGGUAAAGCAGUACCUCCCGUUAGGGGACCGCAAACCUAAAGCGCAGAUCCAACUACGAGCUUUUUAAACGCAACAACUUUAAUAUACGCUAUUGGAGCUGGAAU